rnacentral:lncRNA from 1 species
ACUUCCCUCAGACCUCUGCUGAAAUACAAGAUACUUAUCAAGAUAAGGCAAGAUACUAAGAUAUAAGUUACUAAGAUGUAAGAUAAGAAUAUAUGUGGGGAAAUGAUUUCGUUUAUUGGAUGUCUCCUUGGGAACUUCAAUUAACAAGAAUUAAAGGAUGAGAAGUGCCCAGGAAGUCCUGGAACUGAGUCCUGGGGCAAGGUUCUGGAAGUUGGGACAAGAAGAUUCCUAGAAAAGAGGAAAACAAUCACUCUAGAACUGUUAUAAGCAUGCUAACCAGGACUUCAGAGAAAGGAAAAAAAAAGGCUGAACCUCGCUGGUGAUUCAGAUGGAUCAUGAGGAUCUUUCAACAAAGCUAAGUUCCCGUCUUUUAACGCAGUUAUUCUCAUACUUUUAUACUGAAAUAUCCAGAAUAGCAAAUGAGUUAAAUAUGUUUUCUGUGGGGUUCUGUACAAAGAAGAUUUAGAGCUUUAUGAACCUAAAAUAACAUAUCACAAGGAGAAAAUUUACUUGAAGUGGGAGACUUGGCUUAAAAGCAUCUAAUAUAAAUUGUAUAUUAUAUUCAAUAAUACAAAAGCAAUGCUUUAUUUAGAAUGAAUUAAAAUGCAUGCUUCAGACAAAAUGCAUGAUGUUUAGCUUUUGAUUUACUGAAUAUACUAUUCAACAGAUGUUUGAGUUACAUAGUUUGAGGAGCACAGGCCUUUGGUAUUGAUGGCUCCUGUUAAAAUAAAAACAUGUUUUCUGAGAGCAUAAUCAUAUGAAACCAGGAGCACAUAUUAACAUAAAACUCAAAUCACUUCCCCUGACUUUCUUCUUUCAAAUGUAAAGAAAGUGGGAAACAGGACAGAUGAAUUUGAAGAAACAGAAGAGCUCAGGAAAGUUCAAAGCAUGAAGCAAACUCAAAAGUAUAUCUAAAUACCUAGGGAGCACCUUCAAAGCACAAGGUACCUGAAGAUGAAACGGCAGAAGUGAAAAGAAUUGCUCGUGUAGUACAGGGCUAAAAUUGUACCUGAAGCAUCUCUGCUGCUAUCCCAGGAGAAGAAGAGUCGACAGUAGCUAUGAAUAAUCAUGGAAAUUUCAAUGGAAACAACAUAUCACAUUCUCUGUCUACUACAUAAGUAUGUCUUUUUUAUUUGUAAAUAGAUCAUAUUUUGCACAUAAUUAGGUAAUACCCACAUAUCUCAAUUUGGCUUAGGAAUUAUAUUGAAAGAUAGAAUUGCAUAAGGGUAGGGAUUUUACUUUUAAAUUAUUUUCAUGUCUCCAUGGAUUGGCUCUGUGCUUUACACCCAGUAGCUGUGAAACAAGUACUUAUUUAAUGAUGAAUGAAUAAAUAAAUAAAUAGUUAAAUGCAGCAACAAAAAUGUUGGUAGAUAUAUAGGAUUGUAGAAUCUAAUUGCUUAGUAGGAUCAUCAAGUUCUACCCAAAUUUGGUGUGGCAAACAGAACAAUGGUCCCUUAAGGAUGGCCUAGUCCUAACCUCCCAAACCUGGAAUAUGUUACCUUAUGUAACAAAGAGACUUUGCAGAUGUAAUUAAGUUAAUGAUCUUAAGACAGAAAUAUUAUUCUAAGUGAACUCAAUGAAAUUACAAUGAACAAUGUUCCUUAAAAGAGGAAGGCAAAAGUUCAGAAUGAAACACACAGACACACAUAAAGUGGCUACGAAAGCAGAAGUAGUGAGAGAUUUGAAGAUGCUACCUUACUAGAUUCAAAGACAGAGGAAGGGGUUAAAAUCUGAGGAAAUCAGGCAAGGCAGCCUUUCGAAGCUGCAGAAGAUGAGGAAAUGAAUUCUCCCUAGAACUUCCAGAUAGAAACAGCCCUACUGAUGCCUUGACAUUAGCUCAGUGAAACGUAUUUUCAGACUCUAACUUCCAGAUCUGUAGGAGAUAAAUUUGUGUUGUUUAAGCUACUACAUUUGUGGCAGUUUGUCAAAGUAGCAAAAGGAAACGUAUAUUUGGUAGGCAUCAGAAUUUCCUGAGCAAUAUAGUGUGAUUACCUUUGAAAAUUCUACUCAGCAGUCCUGGAAUUGCAGCCUGAAAUUUGAAAUUUACUAAGUGCUCCCACUAUAUCUGAGUCAGGAAUUACCUAGGAAACCAUGAUAUAUUGCAUUACACUAAUUUUGUACUUGAGAAAAAGCACAAUGUUAAAAUCUCAAGAACAUUAAUAUAGACUUAAGUACAAUUUAUCAUGUAAAAACAUAUUUGAAAAAGUAAGCCUGAAAAAAAGAAACAACUGAACUAUUAACACUAUAUUCUCUAACUAUAUAUUGAUUUUCUCCUUUUGCUUUUACACAGCGAACCACAUAUACUUUCACAGAGGGUGAUUUGGAUAAUAUGUUCCAUGCAUUGCUCCAAGCAGAAAUUCUCAAUCUAUCAUUUCUGCUUGUAUUAUUUUACACCUCUUAAAGACAUUCACAUUCCAUCACAGGGAGCCAAAAUCAGCCUGUUAUAUCUCUGUUUGCGAAUACCGCAAUACUUACUUUACUUUCUCCUGAAUAGAUUGUUAGUGGUUUUUAUUAUCUCCUGUAAAGAGUGUGAGAAAUGCAUGUUGCAAGGACACUUUUGUUUUAUUCACAUUAUUCUACUGAAUCAUGCUAACCAUAGCAUUACAUCUAUUUAUCUAUCUAGCUAUUAAACAUAUUCAGAAUACCUAACAACUUUAGGGGCAUUCAGUAUAUAGAAUAUGCUAGUAUUUGUUAUUUUCUAAAAAUUAAUAAUUAAGAAUGUCAUUCUAUUAUUGCAUUAGUGACUUAGUUAAAAUUUAGACCAUUAACAAAAAAGAGAUGAAAAAAAAAACAAAAAACAUUAGGCACUAAAGGAGUCCUCAGCAAUGGCUUUUUCAAAAUGAUAAUUUGGCAUCAUAAAGCGGGUAUUUGGUAACCAUACUCUAUUACAGAACAGCAAAUGGAAUUUAUGUUCUAUUUUCCCAUAUCCACUUCUUUACUAUAAUUUAGCAAUCAUUGUAAUUCUUACUAUAUAGUUAUUUCAAAUUUGAUAUGAUUCUUAAAGAUGCUCUGAUAGUAACAUUUUCUUUAGUGCCUCAUGUCACUCUCUCUCUCUUUCUUUAAAAAAUAAGUUGUCUUUACAGGAACAAAUUUCACUAUAGAUGCCUGACUUUCUCCUUUCAAAAUGAUUAUUGAAACUCAUUGAGAUCUGGCACUCUGUGUUUCUUAUUUUUAUUCCGUACGUAGGAAAAAAAGAACUCAGAGACACACAUGGUUUUAAGAGGCUGUGACUGUCAACUCUGCCCCUUCCUAUUGAAUAUUGAAGCCUUUAUGUUAUUGAAUACAUUGAAUAUAUUGCAAAUUGGAACCCCAUUAAUAGGAUUCUAAGAAGCCUUACUACUAGAUCUGGAUUCUAAGCCUCCUUGCUUGUAUGAUAGGUUAUUGUCUGAGACAUUAAGCAACUAGACCUAUGUUGGGACACUUGCUUCACAAGUAUUGAAGCUUUUAGAAGAAAUCACACAUACUGUGAUUUAAGGAAGCCUGGCAGUUACAACAGAAAAAAGAAGCUGAUUCAUGUAGAAUGUCUUGAAAUUUUGUCACUGGUAAUUUUGGCAAGAACAUUAUUAAUGUUAAGAUUUGUUUAUAACCAAUGAGAACACAUGGACACAGGGAGGGGAACAUCACACACCAGGGCCUGUCGGGGUUGGAGGACCAGGGGAGGGAUAGCAUUAGGAGAAAUACCUAAUGUAGAUGAUGAGUUGAUGGGUGCAGCAAACCACCAUGGCACGUGUAUAGGCAUACACUGUAACAAACCUGGAUGUUCUGCACAUGUAUCCCAAAACUUAAAGAAUAAUUUUAAAAAGUUUUUUUUAAAGAUUUGUUUAUAAAAUGGCAAAUUGCUUAAUCAGGGGAAUCCUCAUUGAGUUGAGAAGUAUGAGCUGUGAAGUAUGUUUUGCUGGAAAUAAACUUGUAAGCCGCUACAUAUAUAUUCUCCAAACAGAAAUAAACGCAAACAUCAUUUACCUGGAGGACAGGUUGAGAAUGAGUUAUAGCCUAACAUGACAUACAUAAGAAACUAAAAAAAAAAAAAAAAAAAAAAAAAAAAAAACAGAAUGAGGAUGAUACAUGAUCCCAAAAUAGAAGUAAGCAUUUUUUGGACAGAAAAGAUUCUGAAAAACUUGUGUCCCAAUGGUUCAUCCUUGAAUUGUAUCAUUGCAACUACCCCUCCCUCAUACAUAUACCAUGUCCUCUUCAUGAUUCUGAGAAAUUUUGAAGACCAGAUUCAAGGGGGUUCACAAAUGCCACUAAGACCUUCAUGUUACUAAGAAUGAUUAGUAUAUCAGCCUGGAGAAGCACUUGCUACAGGUUAGGCAAAUUAGGGUCCCCUUAUAGAAGAUGAUUAAAGUAGACAGAAGGAAUAAAAUUAACGUAUUAUUCAAUAAAUCUUCCUUAUGUCUCAUCUGGCUAAAUAAAAGUCCUGGGAAUAUAUUUAUAACUAACCAUUAUGCAAGUUCUUUCAACCCAAAAUAUUUUCUCCCUAUAUUAACUCUAUGUACUCCCCUACACACACACAUAUAUCUCCUAAACUUUUUAAACUAUUCUAAGUUAUGUGCUAGGAAUUGUACUAGGCAUUUUACAAAUAUAAAUUCACGCUAUUUGUACAUUUAGAAAAGUAAGAUACAAGAUUAUUUUUAAUCAAUAUUGACAAAAUUUAUCUUCUUUUUAAACAUAUUGACUAAAUAGUUCAGAGUUCAAAGAUGAAUUAUGAUAAAGAGUGUUUAGCAAAAUGUUUACACAUAAAAUACUUUGAACUCACUAGCAAUGAAGCAAAUAUUAUAGCCCGAAGACUCUCAGGAAAUUUAAUCCAGAAUGGAGGAUACUAAGUGAUGUAUGGAACUGCUUAUUCUACUUAAACAUCAAAACUCCACAUGAAUCUUCGAAGUGUAUCUCUGCGCCUUAAAUGAAAACACAGUUUUGACAUUGUUUAUUGCCUCUUGAGAGGAAACUCUGCUCAAUUCAUAAGUGAAUCAUGAAUUACCCAAUUUUUUCUUCCAUGGGCUUCUCUCAGGGUGCCCCUUGGUUUAACUUCAUUAUGUACAAACAUGGUAUUACCUUCCAUAACACAAUAUUUCAUAUACAGAGUGAUAUAUCAUUUAGAUGACUCUUUAGACCAUCGUUUUGAAAGCUACAGUUUUCUGAGCUAACAAUUAUAUUAUAGCUAUAUAGAAAUAAUAAAACCUUUUUUUUUUCUUUUUUUGAGAUGGAGUCUCACUAUGUCGCCCAGGCUGGAGGGCAGUGGCGCGAUCUCAGCUCACUGCAACCUCCGCCUCUCAGGUUCAAGCGAUUCUCCUGCCUCAGCCUCCCGAGUAGCUGGGUCUGCAGGUGCGUGCCACCAUGCCCAGCUAAUUUUUUGUAUUUUUAGUAGAGACGGGAUUUCACUCUGUUAGCCAGGCUGGUCUCCAUCUCCUGACCUCGUGAUCCGCCCACCUCGUCCUCCCAAAGUGCUAGUAUUACAGGUGUGAGCCACUGCGCCAGGCCAGUAAAAUCUUUCUUAAUUAAACAGCCCUAUAUUGUGCAACUAUAAUAGAAUAUGUGAUAACUAAAUUCAAAGGGUGAGAGAAUCAUAAAAGUUAUCGUACAUGCCUAAACUUAUGUACCAAAAUGUGCUAUGUACAUGCAUACAACUAAGUGUACUAGGCUUUCAUCAGAAGUCCCUUUUAGUUAUCUGCAGCUGCUUUAUUCCUUUUUGUAGAUCCCUUAUAAUUAUAAAAAUAUUUUUAUAUACAUUCGAAAUAUCUUAUGAUUAUAUAUAGUUACACAUAUUUGAUAUAUAUUUAUAUAUGUAUUACAGCGAUGUAUUUCUGAUCAGUGUUUUCUAACAACCACAAAUAUGUGGAAUAUAACUUAUACAAAAAACAUUUUGGAUGACAUAACAACUCAGAAGUAAUAAUUUUCCACACCAAUGACCUGUCUCUACUUCUAAUAUAAAGAAGGCAUCAAGAAGUAUGCU